UAUAAUAAGGAUGCACACACACACACACAUACAUAUAUAUAUAUAUAUAUAUAUACAUAUGUGUAUGUGUGUGUACAUAGGAGUGUAUGGGGGUAUGUAAGUGAGUGAAAGAGAGAGAGAGGGAGGGAGAGAGAGAGAGAGUAAAAGAGAUUGAUAGAAACACAGAGAGGGAGAGAGAGAGAAAACAAGAACAGUAUGAAAUAUUGCGCAUGGACUGAUGGACAGAAAUAUUGCAUUUUAAAGGGAAACAAACAAAUACCAACUAACGUUUGAUUUAACCUCAACAACAACAACAACAACAACAAUCUAAUGAAGGAAAGAAAGAAGAAAAGGAAAAGGAAAAGAAGGUGGACGAAAGCAUUUUAUUGAUUGAGUAGAAACAAAUAACCAAUUCGCUUCAACAUCCAAGAAAGAAAAAUGGGUAGACUACAUUUCACUCCUUAGAUUUCCGGUUUAUCUUCCUGCUCAGGAUGCGUUGAUUGAAUUUCAAAUAGAUGGAGGAUCUGCAAAUGGAAUGACAUUCAUCUCAAAUAUUGCCGCAUGUUGUCUGGAUGGAAUUAAACUAGUUUCUCAUUUAGACAUGGUCAUGUGAUUAAGAAGUUUAUUUUGCAACCAUGUGGCUUUGGUUCAAGUCCCUGCCAUGUGCCACUUUGGCAGAAAAUUUAUUCCGAAGUGAAUUUAUUGACAGAAUGUAUCUUCAUCAUUACAAAUACAAGCCCUGGAAUUGUCAUCACUUGGAAAAACUGGAAUGACAGAUGUUGUAUCGUAUCCUUUUAGAUCGAAAAUAUACCAACGAAAUGAGAUUCCUCUUUUUGUAUAUUAUUACAUAAUAUUGGUUAAUUUACUCUGUUUCUCUCUGUGGAACUAUUAUUGUUUGAUGUGGCAUACAAACUAGCUAGCUUACGGAAAGACUUCCCUUUAUUUUUAUUGUUACUGUAGGAACAGUAAAUCUAGUGCAGAGAACAGGUAACUGCUUUCCAUGCCGUCUCUGUUAAGUGGCGUUCAGUCGUCCGUUUUUGGAUAAAUCUAAAAUAUAUACUUUCAAAAUGAGCUUGCUCCAUUCAUGUUUUUAAAAGCGCUCUAUGAUGGGACUGAACCAAGGUCUUAUGCAAUAAUGUAACCUGGACUAUUCCUGUUUGUUGAUAUUCCUUUACAUGAUUAAUCUACUUAACAAAAGUCUUUGAUAUUGUAACUUUCUACUUAAUUUUUAUCAGCUCUUUACAUCACAGAUUCAAAUCCUGACUUUCAUCCCUCUGGGGUCGAUAAAAAUCUACCCAGUGAAAUACUAGGUCGAUUUAGUCGAGUAACCCCCUCCACCACAAAUUACUGACUUAGUGCUAGCAGUUACUUAUUGUAGUAAAGUUUUGUUAAAGUAAAUAGUUUUGAUUGUUUGUGCAGGUGGCACGUAAAAAAACACCUUUUUGAGCGUGGCCGUUGCCAGAACCGUGUGACUGGUCCUCGUGCCGGUGGCACGUAAAAGCACCCACUAAAUUCUCGGAGUGGUUGGCGUUACGAAGGGCAUCCAGCCGGAGAAACUCUGCCAGAUCAGAUUGGAGCCUGGUGCAGCCUUCUGGCUUGCCAGUCCUCAGUCAAAUCGUCCAACCCAUGCUAACAUGGAAAGCGAACGUUAAACGAUGAUGAUGGAACCGCUUAAUAAUGCAUAAUAUGUUUGGGAGAAAUCCCAUGGGAAUUGUAGAAGCCGCUGAGUACUGGAUGGAAUAUCUAGCAGUAAUAUGGACGUACUUCAUUUUAGUUACAAAUCGCAUCGA